UACGGGGGGGGCAAGCGUUGUUCGGAAUUACUGGGCGUAAAGGGCUCGUAGGUGGCCAACUAAGUCAGACGUGAAAUCCCUCGGCUUAACUGGGGAACUGCGUCUGAUACUGGAUGGCUUGAGUUUGGGAGAGGGAUGCGGAAUUCCAGGUGUAGCAGUGAAAUGCGUAGAGAUCGUAAGGAAGACCAGUGGCGAAGGCGGGUCUCUGGACAGUUCCUGACACUGAGGCACGAAGGCCAGGGGAGCAAACGGG
rnacentral:rRNA from 1 species